GCGUGUGUGUGGGGCGAAGCGGGAAGGGGCGAAGCGGGAAGGGGCUGGGAGAAAUAUUGCCUGGAGGCAAUAGAUGACACCAGGCCUUCCCAUAAGCUCCGUGAAAAUGAUGAGAAUGACUUCCAAGGCUGUGAGUUGUGGCUGAUGAGAGAAGCUAAGAAGAGCAAUCUCAAAACUAAUUGAUGGAGCUGCAUGGAACAUAGAUUUGGAUGCAUCUUUAGUCAGGUGCAGGGACAUGUAAUGCUCCUCUUAGGUGUCGUGCUGACAGGAGCAACAGAAAGCAGUAGACAGCUUUUGCUUCUGGAAGAACAGGAUGAAAUGAUGAGUAAUGGCUGUAGAUUCAAGGAACUUGUCUACCUUGUUCAGACCAGGCCUCAGAAGGAUGCUGUCUGCCCCAGUCUGUGCAGAGCUCCACAAUAUGAGCCAGGGGCACAAGCAUGCGUGUGUGUGCCUGACAACUGCAUGGAGCAUGCAUGAGCACAGCAGGGAUUCAAGCAGAGGAAAUCCAUGUGCAGGACUGCAGUCAGUGCUGGUGGUGAGGCUGCUGGGAGCAGGGCUGGGGGCAGAUCCACCCCCAGCACUGACACCUCUCACUGCCCUGCUACUGUGGUAUCACAGUGCUCUGGGCAAAUGAAUCUGCUGCUUCGUACUAUACACUCCCCAUCUGCUAGUACAGGGAUAGUGACUUGAUAAAAUGCUGCAUAAUAGGUUACCGUGUUUUAAUAGUCUGAAUGAAAUCAUUAUUUGUGGGAGACGGAUUGCAUUGGCAAAUUCCAUUGAGAAUUGAUUCCUGUGUUUGGCAUUUUCCUGGUCUCAGCAUAGCAAUUCUUUUCAUGAUACAUCUCAGCACUUCUGAGCAUCUAUCUUAGUAAUUCAUACUGAGUAUUAAUGGGAAAUCACUGUGAAGUGUCCCUCUCUUUAAAUCUCUUUGCAUGGUUCUGCUGACCUUUCUUGGGUGCUAAAAAAAAAGUGCAUACAGAAUAGACAUGCAUUUGCAACCUGCAUUGAAUUGUGUGUGGUAGAGAGCGCUCGUUGCCACAUUGUGCUGAUGCAGUGUCAUUGCUGCAUGCAGAGACAGGUUGUGAAUUUGUAGAGAACUUGCUUUUGUGCACUAACUGUGCACAGUGAUUCAAAGGGAGCGGAGGAGCUGUGUUUUGAAGCUGGUACUUGGCACAAGAUGAACUACAACAGUGCAGUUAUUGUGUGGAAACAUGAAAUAAUUUCCUGUUGCCAGGACUUGUGGUGCAGGAACACACAUGGGCAUGUGUGUGGAUAUAGUAGUGCUCUUGGGAGAGGGAGGAGAGGAUGAAAGUGAACAUCUCACAUCUCUUAAAAUGGCACAUGCUUGGGCACAACUUGGAGCCUCUGGAUCUCCUGGGCAGCAGCUCCAUAAAGUCUGUCUGCAGUGCUGCAUCUUCCUUGUUCAUGGCACAGACCUCACCAUGCUGUCCCCAGAUAAAUUAUCUUUCUGCAUUAUAUUCUGAGAGAUGUCCCCGCAAAGCAUCUGAGGGGCUGACAGCAGUGUCAGACCUACCAUAGCACAGCUGGUUGUGCUCCGGCCACGGCACUGCCCAUACUUUGCAUACAAUGAACAGCUACUUGCAAUUCCUGGGGCUUGCUCCUGCACAUACACAUCCUGCAGGUUCCUACAGACACCUGAGGGUAUCGAGCCUUCAAUCUCCUAAAUCCCUUGAAAAAUCUAAACUAAAACGAAAGCAUGGGGAGUUGGCCUUCUCACUAAAGAGGAUGGGUACAAAUCCAGUCAUCUUUGCAUUUAGUAAUCCUUCUGACUAUAUAAGAUUUCUCCACACCCCACAUUCGAGAUUCAUCAUGUAUUAAGCAUGUUCAUGUCUUCAGGUCCUUGUGGAUCUUUGUCACCAGGAGCCUGCACUUCCUUUGUUGUUUGCAAGACAGAGUUACUCAGUUUGCUUAUAGUACUUACAGACUUAGUACAGUUGAAAUAUACAGGCAUCCUUCCUUUCUGCCCCAAAGGAGCUGGGUUGCUCUGAAUUUGAUUUGUGUGGAUUGUGCUCCUUCAUGGGACUGAGUGAUUUCAACACAGGAUUUCCUGGGAUUACCCUCUUGCCCCUGACUCUUGUCCCUGCCUUUUCCUGCAGUGCUUGGUUAUCUGGACAGUGUUUGCAGGCCACUAAAAGAAAUCCUCGCAUUCCAGAAAAUACAGACAACAAAAGAGACAGGCAGAAAAGUGGCACUAAUACUUUGACACUGGUGGGAAUCUCAACAGAAAGCACUGUGCUAAAGGUGUGAGGUUAAGGGAUCAUCACUAUCAAGAAAAAAGUCAUAGUAUGGAAGAUUUAGCUGUGGUGUGCUGACUAGAAGAAAAAAAAGAACUCUUACCUUGUAGCUUUUUCUUUCUGUCUCUCUUAAUGGAUAUCACAGA